GAUGAACGCUGACAGAAUGCUUAACACAUGCAAGUCGAUGGGGAAGUGGUGCUUGCACCAUGGCAACCAUGGCGGACGGGUGAGUAACGCGUAAGGGACUUACCUGCAGGACUGGGAUAACAGGGGGAAACUCCUGACAAGACCGGAUAAUGUCAUGGAGCUGCAUGGCUUUAUGAUGAAAGGAGACGCCUGCGGAGAGCCUUGUGUCCUAUUAGCUAGUUGGUGAGGUAAUGGCUCACCAAGGCGAAGAUAGGUAGCCGGCCUGAGAGGGUGGACGGCCACAAGGGGACUGAGAUACGGCCCUUACUCCUACGGGAGGCAGCAGUGGGGAAUAUUGGACAAUGGGGGCAACCCUGAUCCAGCAAUUCUGUGUGCACGAAGAAGGUUUUCGGAUUGUAAAGUGCUUUCAGCAGGGAAGAAGUAAGUGACGGUACCUGCAGAAGAAGCGACGGCUAAAUACGUG
rnacentral:rRNA from 1 species